ACUGCAAACCGGGUUAUCGCUCUUAUUCAUUUGAGAGAGGAAAGUCCGGACAGUAUAGAGCAACACACCGGUUAAUAGCCGGUUCUGGCGUUAUUGCCGGAAAGAAAGUGCCACAGAAAAUUACCGUCCUGAAUCUAUUUGGGAUAAGGGUGAAAACGUGAGGUAAGAGCUCACGAUUUUGAUAAGUAAUUAUCAGAUUGGGUAAACCUUGUGUACUGCAAUGCCACGUAUAUCAGCGCCUGAAGGCUGCUCGCCUGAUGCUGAAGGGUAGGCAGCAAGAUUGUUGCAGCAAUGCAACAGCGAGAUAAAUGAUAACCAUCCAUUGUAAAAUGGAAACAGAAUCCGGCUUACAGGUUUGCAGCAAUG
rnacentral:RNase_P_RNA from 1 species